rnacentral:rRNA from 1 species
UACAGAGGUCUCAAGCGUUGUUCGGAUUCAUUGGGCGUAAAGGGUGCGUAGGCGGCGCGGUAAGUCGGGUGUGAAAUCUUGGAGCUUAACUCCGAAACUGCAUUCGAUACUGCCGUGCUCGAGGACUGGAGAGGAGACUGGAAUUUACGGUGUAGCGGUGAAAUGCGUAGAUAUCGUAAGGAAGACCGGUGGCGAAGGCGGGUCUCUGGACAGUACCUGACGCUGAGGAACGAAAGUCAGGGGAGCAAACGGG